ensembl:lincRNA
CGAGGGGAGGAGGGUCCGGUUGGGCACAGGCAAUCGAUGCCCUCUGCUACCAAGUCUAGUUCAUUCGUAACUGCAGCGGACGUCUCAGCUGCUGAUCCCGUCCUCUCAGGGGUCGGUCACCUUAAUAUUGUGUGACCAGGACCAUCCCAACAGCAUCUGGCCCGCAGGAGCAAGGGUUUGAAUAAUUAAAAUCCCAUUCGUCGGUUUAUUAAAAAUCCCAAUAUUGACUCGGGGUCGGGCCGCCGGGCUAGGAGCGAGGGCUCUGAGCGUCUCGCGAAAGCCCCGGUCCGGCCGGGCCCUGUGAUCUCCGGAGGGCUCUGGGUCCCCAGGCUCUCCUGCCCUGGGGUCCUGUUCCUCUUUAGCCUCCUCCGCGACAGGCGUUGAGGGACUAGAGAGAGAGAAAGUUCUUACCUGACAUGUUUGUAAGCCUAUCAAAUCCUAUUUUACAGGAUCUUAAGAAAACCAAGGUGUUUUAAAAUGUCAUUUCUUCAGAUGCGUUGGGCUGAAUUCCGGCCCUGCACGUAGAUUCUAGGAGUUACGUCCCAGAAAUCAGAGCGCAUUCGUGGAGAUGUGGCUAGUUCUGUGAGACAGAUGGAGUGCCCCAAACAGAGACCCGAUCCAGGCAAUCGUGGGUACACGAAGGCAGGCCGCUGGCUGCGGGUCUCCAGGUAAUGAUGGGGGCCCCAGACAGGACCGAUUUGGUUUCCGCUGAAGUGGGUACAGGAUAGAAGUAAGUUUAUGAUGCAGAUGCUUGAACCCCUUAGCAUGAGAUUAUAAUACAGAGAGAGAUCAUUUCCCCUUGCUUGGUCACAGUUUGCAAUGCACACGGGAGGUUUCGGUUGUCUUUUUUCCCCCGACACGUCAUGGACACCCCCUCCACCGCUCAGAGUAGCCAAAUCUGAGUUCCUCUGGACGAUUCUCCACAGCAAAUGAAGUCAGCGGUUCCUCCAUUCGGGAUUUCCAUCCGUUGGUUACAGGGCUGGAAAUAGGGGAGUUCCCAUCCUCCUCGCGCAGUGGCUGCGGCCGCUCCUCUUUAUUCUACUCUCUGCCGAGGCCCGCGCCCGUCCCGGGGAGCGGCUCUGCCAGGAAGGCGACCCGACCCGUGCCUGGCUCCCAGUCGGCGUCCGAGCCCAGGGUCUCCACUCCUAGUCCUCUCCCAGACGAAAGACCCGAACAGCCAGGCGGAGUGUUAGUGCCCACCGCGCAGCAGCUCGUCCCGGCACUUGCAAAAUGGUCCACUGAAACAUUAUUAUAUGAAAAACAGUGUUGGAGGAAGAAAAGAGACUAAGCAGAGCACUAAAAAAUUUGAGGGGAUUUUAGUGAAUAAAUUAGAUCAACCAAGGAGAAAACAGAACAGAGGAUGCCUUCGCUUCAAACGACGAAUGAAAAAAAUCUGUCUUUCUCAACACAACCAAAGAACAGCUUCAUAUUUCAGGCAACAAAAGUAGAAAACAGGAAUGGGUCAUUUAAUUUAAAGACUUUGUAAAUAAUGUUUUAAUUAAAUAGGCCAAGUUGGAACAAAAUAACUUUCUAAAAAUGGUUUUGAUCUGACUGGAUGUAAGUCUACUUGUCUGUAGGCGCUCAGAAGAGAAAUUAAGGAUAGCCUAAGAAGGGAUUUAGACAUCUAUGGCAGUUGCUGAGGACAGAGAGAAAAAAGGAGAAGCCAUUUUACUCAGGAGUGAGGGGACAGGAAAUCUUAGUCCUGGAGUAAAGUCAUCUUUACUGUUUCUCGCAAUAAAGUCUCAAGUCAGCUAAACUGCUCCAUUUUUUUAUGCUCAGUGAGCUACAGAACAACGCUUACCUGACACUCAAGAGCCCCUCACCCAUAUAAAAACACGUCAUAACAGAGCAUCUGUCAGAAACAUAACACACUUAUUUCUAUUGUUCAUUCUAAUCCUUCACUCAAAAUCUGCAAAUCAAUAUCUAAGGAUCAACACGUUAGGUCACCUGAAACCGAUCACCCACCCAAGAUGAUAAUGUCUGGUGUCUCUCUAAGCACUAGAUAGACCCUCUCUAGAGUAAGUCUGACUGCUGUCAUUACUACAGCACUUUCAGGCAGAAGUAGCCACAACAGUCAUCGUCCUUUGACCCCCUCAUAGCAGUUAGGGAAACUUCUUCAGAGGGAGGAAUAUUGUAGGUAGGUAAGUUAAUUGGAUAUCUUGUAGGCAGUUAGACAGGGCCAGCCCUUGAAAAGCCAACAUGGAGGACAAAGGAGACACAUUCACUGAAAGCCAGCACUGUAAUAGAAAUCGCCACACACACAUAGCCUGAAUAUCAGUGCUUGAUACUUUAAAUAGGUAUCAAUCACCUGGAUGGGGAACCAAGAUCUUCUAGGGAAGAUCCCAGACCCAUUCCUUAUCACUGAAAAUCCUUGCUCACAAAUCCCUUCUAUGCUUGCUAUGUUACUUGCUUCCAGUUAAAUCCCCAUUAUAUCAACAUUACCUAAGCAACUAUACUUGUCAUGAUAUUUUUGGUCGUUCGUAGUGUUGGCCACUUUGUGAUUUCCCACUAGAUCAAUAUUACCCAAGCAACUGUGCUUGCAGUAUUACUGAUUGACUAUAGUUUUGUUCCACCUUGAACCUGCCUCACAUCAUGGUUUCGUCCUAUAAAACACCUUUGAGAAUAACCCACUUUAAAGUCCCCCUUCUUUCUUUCUUUUUUCAGCUUUAAUUGAGUUUAUUGGUACAUUUUAGGGAUACAGUACAGUUACAUUCAUUGUUGGGAUCUUGUAGCUCUACAUGACAGGUAUUGGUUCUCAUUUUUUCCCCUUGUUCCUGCCCUCCCUUCACCCCCUCGUCCCCUCCCCAUCUACAAACACUUUAUUUCCAUCUUUUCAUUAUCUCACAAUUGUUUUCUUUUCCCUUAUUACCCUUCCCCUACCCAAAACACCUUCCCUACACCUUUAGCUCCUUUCUUCCCAUUUCUAAAUGUCAGUAAUCUUAUUAGGAUCUUCUGUAUUAUUGCAGAUUAUUCACACCAGAGAAACUAUUCAGUAUUUACACAUGUGUGCCUUAUUUAGUUCACUUAGGAGUAUAUCUUCAAUAUGUAUCCAUUUUCCUAUGAUUGAAUCUAUUUUCUCAUUCUUUAUGGUUGAGUAAUAUUCCAUUUUAUAGAAAAACCACAUCUUCUGUAUCCAGUUUCCAACAGAUGGG